rnacentral:rRNA from 1 species
CACGUAGGCGGCUUGCUAAGUCAGGGGUGAAAUCCUGGAGCUCAACUCCAGAACUGCCUUUGAUACUGGCGAGCUCGAGUCCGGGAGAGGUGAGUGGAACUCCGAGUGUAGAGGUGAAAUUCGUAGAUAUUCGGAAGAACACCAGUGGCGAAGGCGGCUCACUGGCCCGGUACUGACGCUGAUGUGCGAAAGCGUGGGGAGCAAACAGGAUUAGAUACCCUGGUAGUCCACGCCGUAAACGAUGGAUGCUAGCCGUUGGCGAGCUUGCUCGUCAGUGGCGCAGCUAACGCUUUAAGCAUCCCGCCUGGGGAGUACGGUCGCAAGAUUAAA